UUCGGGACGCCGGCGAGUGGCGAACGGGUGAGUAACACGUGGAGACCUGCCCUGAGGUGGGGGAUAACAGCUAGAAAUGGCUGCUAAUACCGCAUACGCCUUACGAGGGAAAGAUUUAUUGCCUCAGGAGGGUUCCGCGUCGGAUUAGCUUGUUGGUGGGGUAACGGCCUACCAAGGCGAUGAUCCGUAGCUGGUCUUAGAGGAUGAUCAGCCACACUGGGACUGAGACACGGCCCAGACUCCUACGGGAGGCAGCAGUGGGGAAUAUUGCGCAAUGGAGGCAACUCUGACGCAGCGAUGCCGCGUGGGUGAAUAAGGCCUUAGGGUUGUAAAGCCCUUUCAGCGGGAAAGAUGAUGACGGUACCCACAGAAGAAGCCCCGGCUAACUCCGUGCCAGCAGCCGCGGUAAUACGGAGGGGGCGAGCGUUGUUCGGAAUUAUUGGGCGUAAAGAGCGCGUAGGCGGUUUAUUAAG
rnacentral:rRNA from 1 species